rnacentral:rRNA from 1 species
GGAGUUAGCCGGUGCUUCUUCUGCGAGUAACGUCACAGAUGUAAGGUAUUAACUUACACCCUUUCCUCCUCGCUGAAAGUGCUUUACAACCCGAAGGCCUUCUUCACACACGCGGCAUGGCUGCAUCAGGGUUUCCCCCAUUGUGCAAUAUUCCCCACUGCUGCCUCCCGUAGGAGUCUGGGCCGUGUCUCAGUCCCAGUGUGGCUGAUCAUCCUCUCAGACCAGCUAGGGAUCGUCGCCUAGGUGAGCCUUUACCUCACCUACUAGCUAAUCCCACCUGGGCUUAUCCAUCAGCGCAAGGCCCGAAGGUCCACUGCUUUCCCCCGUAGGGCGUAUGCGGUAUUAGCAGUCGUUUCCAACUGUUAUCCCCACAAAUGGGCAAAUUCCCAGGCAUUACUCACCCGUCCGCCGCUCGUCAUCUUCAAAAGCAAGCUUUUGAAAUGUUACCGCUCGACUUGCAUGUGUUAGGCCUGCCGCCAGCGUUCAAUCUGAGCCAGAAUCAAACUCUGA